GACGUAGGUGGCAAGCGUUGUCCGGAUUUACUGGGCGUAAAGAGCGCGCAGGCGGUCGUUCAAGUCGCGUGUGAAAGCCCCCGGCUCAACUGGGGAGGGUCACGCGAUACUGAUCGACUCGAAGGCAGGAGAGGGUAGUGGAAUUCCGGGUGUAGCGGUGGAAUGCGUAGAGAUCCGGAAGAACACCGGUGGCGAAGGCGGCCUGCUGGGCAGUUGCUGACACUGAGGCGCGACAGCGUGGGGAGCAAACAGG
rnacentral:rRNA from 1 species